GGGCAGGUGGCAGAGCGGUCAAUUGCAUCUCGCUGUAGACGAGACGCCUUUCAGGCUACGGGGGUUCGAAUCCCUCCCUGCCCA
rnacentral:tRNA from 2 species